CCACUGUACCCAUUGAACACUGUGUAUGAGAAUUUGUAACUUCAUAUCUAAAUGCCCUUACAAUAUUCUGUAAUGUUGAUUUUUUUUUAAAAAGAAAGGGAAAAAAAAGAACAACAAAACCAUUUGUAAGAUGGCUGUACGAAUAAAACCAAGUUAAAGAAAAACAGGAGGAAAUAAAGAAAAGAGGACAGAUAAUUGAGUGACCUUUUUUUCCGCUUUCAGAUACCUGGCCAAUGAGAUGAAGUUGUACCACUUCCAUCAGUCCAGACAUUUGUCAAAGAAGUGCAGUUUAUAAAUGACCAAGUGGAUGAAGCAGCCACACUCUCACCGGUCCAGAUAUUCCUCAAAGAAGAGGAAGGUGCGUAUUGUAAGGCAGAAGAGCCUGUGCUGGUCUCACUUGUCCCAGUGCUUCUCAAAGAAGAACAUGUGCUUGAUGAAUCGCCGGAGGACUUUGAAGUUGGCAGUCACCCAUUGCUAAUAAAUCUGGUGAAACCCUUCCUGUAGAGGUGAUCGUUGGCACCAGUAAUGUGGAAGAGGAGCGAGAGGCACACCAACACCAGCACAUGAGUCUCCGUUUAAUAAUUGGGAUAUUAUAACAGUAAGGUAAUUCUAGUUUGGGUACAUUUUUGGCAGAUUUGAACUCCCCCUUAAAAUGGAGAUAUAACUGUAGGGCAUAGCAUAUAUUUGUUAUGCUACAUUAAAAGAGUACUAGUGGUUUUGUGUUGAAGUGUUUAAUGUAUAUUGUCGGUCAGUAAGUCAGAGCACUUUGUUCCAGUUAUAGCUCCAGAAGUCAGUCACCAGCAGCAGAUGUCACACAGUUAUAAAAUGGGAAACUUGAAGAAUAAGGUACUAGUGGUUUGGAUACAUGUGUGGGAAAUUUCACCUUUCACUUAAAAUGAAGGUACAGUUACAGUCCUUAAGAGUAUACUGGCAAAUGGUAACUCAAAGCUCUUUGUUUCUGUUACAGCUCCAGAAGUCAGCAGCAGCAGCAGCAGACGUCACACAGCCAUAAUGCGAGAAGCUUGAAGAAUAAUUUAUGGCUCCGAUAGUCUUCCAGCAGCAGCAAAUGUUACACAGUCCUAUAGAGGCAAACUUGAAGUAUAAAGUAAUAGUGUUUUGCAUACAAUGGCAAACUUGACCUUUCGCUUAAAAUGGAGCAGCAAUCAUCAGAUUGCAAUCCAGUUAAGUACCUGUGAGGCAUGAGAUGUCAAAAAUACUUGUGGGUUAUUGGUAGCCUGUGUCAAGGCAUGUGGCACCUCAAAGUUUGUAAGUACAGUAGCAUUUUGUUUUCUGCUUUACUUAAAAAUUGGUAGCUGUAGCACCCAUUCUGACAUUCAAUUAUUUUGAAUUUCAAUUUUCUUAGAAUGAUACUGACAUCAGUUUGUUAACACUAAUCCGUAUAUUAUUGUUAAUAUAUGCUGCUAUUUUCCUCAGAUGUUAACUGAAAUUGUUUUAUUGUUAUGAUAACAACACUUCAGCCUUUGCAAACUUGCAGUAUAGGUUACCUGCUGAGAAAUAUUUACUGGAAGAAAUGGUUUCUUGAAUAGGACCGAAAGGAAAACCACUGAAAAUGCCAAACGUGAAUUGGUGAAACAUCUUGUGCUCAAUACUAAAUUUCAUUUGCAAAACACGGAAGUUGUCCUAUCUUUGUGGUGGAACACAACAAAUUCUCAUAAUUUUGCUAGUUUGUAUUCUAGAAAGGGUGCCAGAAAUGGAAGAGUAUAAUUUUUAUUAAAUCGGGCAUUAAAUGUAAGUAGGUUGGAGUACGGAAAGCGUGCAACUGGCCUUCCCCACUGUAGCCUGAUGUGCAGGUGGUUAUAACACUAGUAUCAAACUGCAUGGUACCCACUUACUAAUGUGACCUACGCUUGCAUGAUCUUCUGCAGACAGCAAGAAAUCCGCUACUGCUCUUACUACCUGUCCAACAGUUGUGGAGGAUUUUUUCCCCUUGGUGCUUGACAUGACAUGUUUUGCCCUCUGCCCUUAAAAUCUCAAUUCUUGUUACAUUUUUCAUCCAUUUUCUAUCUCCUGAUGGAUCUGUAUUGAUUAAAAAACUAAUCACUGCGGAGGUGAUUGUAGAACUUUUGCUAGUGGCAGUGUGGAGGGGCUCCACUCUUUAAAAAAUAAAAUUACAUUGUGGGACAUGGAAUUAUUAUUAGAUGCUUUCAUGGACAUUUUGUUUACUGAAAAAGUCAGUCAUUAUCUGAGGUAUUUAAAUGUUAACUUCAAAUCUAAAACUGCAUCAAAAGAUAAAUUUCAGUGAGUCUUUAACAAGUUUCAGUAUCUUGCUUCACAUGCUGGACACUCCAACUAUAAAAAACAGUGUUUUGCAGAGAACAGCUAUUCAGAUGUUAACAUCCCAGAAUUUGUGUAAAAGAUAUCCCUUACAUUGUUAGUUUCAUUGUGGUCACACUCUGCAGUGUAGUGUUAUCAGCAUACAUAUAGAAGUUUGAAGAACAUAUUAAAUUAAUUGCUAGACAUGCCUUAAGUGAAUAUGUUUACUACUAAUAUGAGUCAGCUAAGUAGUUGCUGCAAGUUUUUAUGUUGUUUCUAAAGUGUCAUUAGACAAGGAUAUUUCUGCUGUU